UACAGAGGGUGCGAGCGUUAAUCGGAAUUACUGGGCGUAAAGCGCACGUAGGUGGCGACGUAAGUCGGGUGUGAAAGCCCCGGGCUCAACCUGGGAAUUGCAUUCGAGACUGCAUUGCUGGAGUACGGAAGAGGAAGGCGGAAUUCCAGGUGUAGCGGUGAAAUGCGUAGAUAUCUGGAGGAACACCGGUGGCGAAGGCGGCAUCCUGGACCGGUAUUGACGCUGAGGCGCGAAAGCCAGGGGAGCAAACGGG
rnacentral:rRNA from 1 species